GAAAGUAAAUAAGGGCGUAUGGCGGAUGCCUAGGCUCAUCCAGGCGAUGAAGGACGUGAUAAGCUGCGAUAAUCCGCGGGUAGGUGCAAAUGACCCUUGAUCCGCGGGUCUCCGAAUGGGACAACCCGGGUAUCUGAAGGAUACCCAUCCGCACUGUUGCGGAAGCUAACGGAGGGAACUGAAACAUCUUAGUACCUCCAGGAAGAGAAAAUAAUUUAAUGAUUCCCCCAGUAGCGGCGAGCGACCGGGGAAGAGCCCAAACCGUUCGUGUCCUUUGGGCAUGUGCGGGGUUGUAGGACCGCGUUGUUGUACGUUAUGCAGGGAGGAGAGCCUUCUGGAAAGAAGGACCACAGAGGGUGAUAGUCCCGUAUCCGAACCUGCAUGCGGCAUAGCGAUAUCCUGAGUAGCGCGGGGCACGAGAAAUCCUGCGUGAAUCUGCCGGGACCAUCCGGCAAGGCUAAAUACUCGGAUGAGACCGAUAGUGUACCAGUACCGUGAGGGAAAGGUGAAAAGCACUUCGACAAGAAGGGUGAAAUAGUUCCUGAAACCAUACGCCUACAAGCGGUCGGAGCACCAUUUAUUGGUGUGACGGCGUGCCUUUUGCAUAAUGAACCUACGAGUUGCCAUCACCGGCGAGGCUAAGCCACACGAGUGGCGCACCCGCAGUGAAAGCGAGCCUGAAUAGGGCGUUUUAGUCGGUGGGGGCAGACGCGAAACCAAGUGAUCUACACAUGUCCAGGCUGAAGUCCGGGUAACACCUGAUGGAGGGCCGCACCAGUAAGCGUUGAAAAGCUUUUGGAUGAGGUGUGUGUAGGAGUGAAAGGCCAAUCAAACUUGGAGAUAGCUCGUACUCCCCGAAAGGCAUUUAGGUGCCGCGUGUGGCGAUCCGCAUGAGAGGUAGAGCGACCGAUAGGUCGAGAGGGCUUCACCGCCUAUCAAGACCUGACGAACUCCGAAUGCUCAUGCGCCGCAGCCAUGCAGUAAGGGUGCGGGUGCUAAGGCCCGUACCCGAGAGGAGAAGAAUCCGGACCGCCGUCUAAGGUCCCCGAGUUCUGCCUGAGUUAGUCUAACGAAGUGCGGUCCCCGUGACAGCCAGGAUGUUGGCUUGGAAGCAGCCAUUCAUUCAAAGAGUGCGUAACAGCUCACUGGUCGAGGGUCCGUGCGUGGAUAAUAAUCGGGUAUAAGGCAGACACCGAAGGCGCGGGAUAGUAAUGUAUAUUAAAAGUAUCGGUAGGGGAGCAUUCCAUGUACGCAGAAUGCGGGGAGACGAUUCCCGCUGGAGUGUAUGGAAAAGCAAAUGUAGGUAUAAGUAACGAUUAGGGGGAUGAGAACUCCCCCCGCCGAAAGUCUAAGGUUUCCCGGGCAAUGCCAGUCAUCCCGGGGUUAGUCGGGUCCUAAGCCUCAUCCUAAUGGAGAGGGCGAUGGCAGAAACGGUUAACAUUCCGUUACUGCCGGCAGGAGCGAUGUGGAGACGGAGCAGUGACACGGCCGCGGGGCGACGGAAGUCCCCGUUGAAUGGUGUAGGCUGAGACCGGGGCAGGCAAAUCCACCCUGGGAGCCGAACCUGAUAGUAUGGCUCUCCCCUCGGGGAGGGCCAAUAGUGCCGGUAAUCAAGCUUCCAAGAAAAUCCGCUAAGCUUCAUCCUGUCGGCACCCGUACCGCAAACCGACACAGGUAGACGGGUUGAAUAUACUCAGGCGUUGAGAGAUUCAUGGUUAAGGAACUAGGCAAACUGACCCUGUAACUUCGGGAUAAAGGGUCCUCGUUUUAUUGACGAGGCGCAGAGAAUAGGUCCAGGCAACUGUUUAACAAAAACACAGGGCUGUGCGAACACGAAAGUAGAAGUAUACAGCCUGACACCUGCCCGGUGCCGGAAGGUUAAGAGGAGACGUCAUCCCAUUUAUGGGUGCCGCGUUGAAUUGAAGCCCCGGUAAACGGCGGCCGUAACUAUAACGGUCCUAAGGUAGCGAAAUUCCUUGUCGGGUAAGUUCCGACCUGCACGAAUGGCGUAAUGAU
rnacentral:rRNA from 1 species